CAAGUCGAGGGGUAUAGGAAGCUUGCUUCCUUGAGACCGGCGCACGGGUGCGUAACGCGUAUGCAACCUACCUUUUACAGAGGGAUAGCCCAGAGAAAUUUGGAUUAAUACCUCAUGGUAUAUAUCAUUCGCAUGUUUGAUAUAUUAAGGUUCCAACGGUAAAAGAUGGGCAUGCGUCCUAUUAGCUAGAUGGUAAGGUAACGGCUUACCAUGGCAACGAUAGGUAGGGGUCCUGAGAGGGAGAUCCCCCACACUGGUACUGAGACACGGACCAGACUCCUACGGGAGGCAGCAGUGAGGAAUAUUGGACAAUGGGCGCAAGCCUGAUCCAGCCAUGCCGCGUGCAGGAAGAAGCAUCUAUGGUGUGUAAACUGCUUUUGUAUGGGAAGAAACACUCCUUCGUGAAGGAGCUUGACGGUACCGUAAGAAUAAGGAUCGGCUAACUCCGUGCCAGCAGCCGCGGUAAUACGGAGGAUCCAAGCGUUAUCCGGAAUCAUUGGGUUUAAAGGGUCCGUAGGCGGUUUGGUAAGUCAGAGGUGAAAGCCCAUCGCUCAACGAUGGAACUGCCUUUGAUACUAUAGAUCUUGAGUGCGGUUGACGUUGGCGGAAUGUGCAGUGUAGCGGUGAAAUGCUUAGAUAUUGCACAGAACACCUAUUGCGAAGGCAGCUAACGAAGCCGUAACUGACGCUGAUGCACGAAAGCGUGGGGAGCAAACAGGAUUAGAUACCCUGGUAGUCCACGCCCUAAACGUUGAAUACUCGAUGUUGGCGAUAUACAGUCAGCGUCCAAGCGAAAGCGUUAAGUAUUCCACCUGGGGAGUACGCCGGCAACGGUGAAACUCAAAGGAAUUGACGG
rnacentral:rRNA from 1 species